rnacentral:rRNA from 1 species
GACAAGCGGAGGAGCAUGUGGUUAAUUCGAUGAUACGCGAGGAACCUUACCUGGGCUCGAACGUAAGAUGACUGUAGGUGAAAGCUUACAUCUCUUCGGAGCAUUUUACGAGGUGCUGCAUGGUUGUCGUCAGCUCGUGCCGUGAGGUGUCGGGUUAAGUCCCAUAACGAGCGCAACCCCUACCUUUAGUUGCCAUCAGGUUAAGCUGGGGACUCUAAAGGAACUGCCUACGCAAGUAGUGAGGAAGGCGGGGAUGACGUCAAAUCAGCACGGCCCUUACGUCCAGGGCUACACACGUGCUACAAUGGCCGAUACAGAGGGCAGCUACCUGGUGACAGGAUGCAAAUCUCCAAAGUCGGUCUCAGUUCGGAUCGGAGUCUGCAACCCGACUCCGUGAAGUUGGAUUCGCUAGUAAUCGCGCAUCAGCCAUGGCGCGGUGAAUACGUUCCCGGGCCUU